GUAGGUGGCAAGCGUUGUCCGGAAUUAUUGGGCGUAAAGCGCGCGCAGGCGGUUCUUUAAGUCUGAUGUGAAAGCCCACGGCUCAACCGUGGAGGGUCAUUGGAAACUGGAGAACUUGAGUACAGAAGAGGAAAGCGGAAUUCCACGUGUAGCGGUGAAAUGCGUAGAGAUGUGGAGGAACACCAGUGGCGAAGGCGGCUUUCUGGUCUGUAACUGACGCUGAGGCGCGAAAGCGUGGGGGAGCAAACAGGAUUAGAUACCCUGGUAGUCCACGCCGUAAACGAUGAGUGCUAAGUGUUAGGGGGUUUCCGCCCCUUAGUGCCGCAGCUAACGCAUUAAGCACUCCGCCUGGGAGUACGGCCGCAAGGCUG
rnacentral:rRNA from 1 species